GAAACCAACAGGGAUUGCCCUAGUAACGGCGAGUGAAGCGGCAACAGCUCAAAUUUGAAAUCUGGCCCUUGGGUCCGAAUUGUAAUUUGUAGAGGAUGUUUUUGGUGCGGUAUCUUCCGAGUUCCUUGGAACAGGACGCCUUAGAGGGUGAGAGCCCCGUACGGUUGAAUGCCUAGCCUUUGUAAAACUCCUUCGACGAGUCGAGUAGUUUGGGAAUGCUGCUCUAAAUGGGAGGUAAAUUUCUUCUAAAGCUAAAUACCGGCCAGAGACCGAUAGCGCACAAGUAGAGUGAUCGAAAGAUGAAAAGCACUUUGAAAAGAGGGUUAAAUAGCACGUGAAAUUGUUGAAAGGGAAGGAUUUAUGACCAGACUUUUUCUAGGCGAAUCAUCCGGUGUUCUCACCGGUGCACUUCGUUUAGUUUAGGCCAGCAUCGAUUUUCGGGGUGGGAUAAAAGCUUUAGGAAUGUGGCUCCCUCGGGAGUGUUAUAACCUAUUGUAUAAUACCGCCCUGGGGAUCGAGGUACGCGCUUCUGCAAGGAUGCUGGCGUAAUGGUUAUCAAUCACCCGUCUUGAAACACGGACCAAGGAGUCGAACAUUUGUGCAAGUGUUUGGGUGUUAAACCCUCACGCGUAAUGAAAGUGAACGGAGGUGAGAGCCCUUACGGGUGCAUCAUCGACCGAUCCUGAUGUCUUCGGAUGGAUUUGAGUAAGAGCAUAACUGUUCGGACCCGAAAGAUGGUGAACUAUGCGUGGAUAGGGUGAAGCCAGAGGAAACUCUGGUGGAGGCUCGCAGCGGUUCUGACGUGCAAAUCGAUCGUCAAAUCUGCGCAUGGGGGCGAAAGACUAAUCGAACC
rnacentral:rRNA from 1 species